AGAAAAUGGAAGUGGAAUAGAUGACAGAAUGGAUAUGGAUCAUAAUUUAGGUUCUGUUCUGCAGCCCCUGCCUUCACAACCUGCUUCUACAGGGCGUAAGCCUAAAUUGGACACAGAUGACCAUCAGAAAGCUACAGAGCCAAGACGUGAUUCAGCCACACUCUCCAGCACAGGUGAAGAGAAGGGCAAUCGUGGAGAGAAAGAAAUCAAGGGUAGUAUUGGGUCUGGAUAUCCUGGCCCCAAAGGUGAUCGUGGGCCUCCAGGACCACCUGGACCAGCUGGACCCCAGGGUCCAGUAACAGAAGUGAAAAGCACAGGGGAUAUAAAGGUGGAGAGGGUAC
rnacentral:lncRNA from 1 species